CGGUAAGGUGAUAUGAACCGUUAUAACCGGCGAUACCCGAAUGGGGAAACCCAGUGUGUUUCGACACACUAUCAUUAACUGAAUCCAUAGGUUAAUGAGGCGAACCGGGGGAACUGAAACAUCUAAGUACCCCGAGGAAAAGAAAUCAACCGAGAUUCCCCCAGUAGCGGCGAGCGAACGGGGAGGAGCCCAGAGCCUGAAUCAGCAUGUGUGUUAGUGGAAGCGUCUGGAAAGGCGCGCGAUACAGGGUGACAGCCCCGUACACAAAAGCGCAUGUGCUGUGAGCUCGAUGAGUAGGGCGGGACACGUGGUAUCCUGUCUGAAUAUGGGGGGACCAUCCUCCAAGGCUAAAUACUCCUGACUGACCGAUAGUGAACCAGUACCGUGAGGGAAAGGCGAAAAGAACCCCGGCGAGGGGAGUGAAAAAGAACCUGAAACCGUGUACGUACAAGCAGUGGGAGC
rnacentral:rRNA from 1 species